rnacentral:rRNA from 1 species
CCUGAUGGAGCAACGCCGCGUGGGUGAAGAAGGUCUUCGGAUCGUAAAACCCUGUUGUUAGAAGAAGUAAAGUGCGUGAGAGUAACUGUUCACGUUUCGACGGUAUCUAACCAGAAAGCCACGGCUAACUACGUGCC